rnacentral:rRNA from 1 species
GACGAACGCUGGCGGCGUGCCUAAUACAUGCAAGUCGAACGAGAGCGCCCGGUGCUUGCACUGGUCAAUCUAGUGGCGAACGGGUGAGUAACACGUGGGUAACCUGCCCAUCAGAGGGGGAUAACAUCCGGAAACGGAUGCUAAAACCGCAUAGGUCUUCGAACCGCAUGGUUUGAAGAGGAAAAGAGGCGCAAGCUUCUGCUGAUGGAUGGACCCGCGGUGCAUUAGCUAGUUGGUGAGGUAACGGCUCACCAAGGCCGUGAUGCAUAGCCGACCUGAGAGGGUGAUCGGCCACAUUGGGACUGAGACACGGCCCAAACUCCUACGGGAGGCAGCAGUAGGGAAUCUUCCGCAAUGGACGCAAGUCUGACGGAGCAACGCCGCGUGGGUGAAGAAGGUUUUCGGAUCGUAAAACUCUGUUGUUAGGGAAGAACAAGUGCUAGAGUAACUGUUAGCGCCUUGACGGUAUCUAACCAGAAAGCCACGGCUAACUACGUG